rnacentral:rRNA from 1 species
AAUGACCUGCGGCGGCUUACACAUGCAAGUCGAGCGGUAACAGGAGAAGCUUGCUUCUCGCUGACGAGCGGCGGACGGGUGAGUAAUACUUAGGAAUCUACCUAGUAGUGGGGGAUAGCACGGGGAAACUCGUAUUAAUACCGCAUACGACCUACGGGAGAAAGGGGGCAGUUUACUGCUCUCGCUAUUAGAUGAGCCUAAGUCGGAUUAGCUAGAUGGUGGGGUAAAGGCCUACCAUGGCGACGAUCUGUAGCUGGUCUGAGAGGAUGAUCAGCCACACCGGGACUGAGACACGGCCCGGACUCCUACGGGAGGCAGCAGUGGGGAAUAUUGGACAAUGGGGGAAACCCUGAUCCAGCCAUGCCGCGUGUGUGAAGAAGGCCUUUUGGUUGUAAAGCACUUUAAGCAGUGAAGAAGACUCCAUGGUUAAUACCCAUGGACGAUGACAUUAGCUGCAGAAUAAGCACCGGCUAACUCUGUGCCAGCAGCCGCGGUAAU